rnacentral:rRNA from 1 species
CGCUGGCGGCGUGCCUAAUACAUGCAAGUCGAACGGUCUUUCUAUGGAAGCUUGCUCCACUGAGAAGAUAGUGGCGAACGGGUGAGUAACACGUGGGUAACCUGCCCAUAAGAGGGGGGAUAACAUCCGGAAACGGGUGCUAAUACCGCAUAGUUUUCUUGAUCGCAUGAUCGGGAAAGGAAAGACGGCCUUUGUGCUGUCGCUUAUGGAUGGACCCGCGGCGUAUUAGUUAGUUGGUGAGGUAACGGCUCACCAAGACGAUGAUACGUAGCCGACCUGAGAGGGUGAUCGGCCACAUUGGGACUGAGACACGGCCCAAACUCCUACGGGAGGCAGCAGUAGGGAAUCUUCCGCAAUGGACGAAAGUCUGACGGAGCAACGCCGCGCGAGUGAAGGUAAAGGGUUUUCGGAUCGUAAAACUCUGUUGUCAGAGAAGAACAAGUUGGAGAGUAACUGCUCCAGCCUUGACGGUAUCUGACCAGAAAGCCACGGCUAACUACGUGCCAGCCGCCGC